rnacentral:tRNA from 1 species
GCAUGGGUGGUUCAGUGGUAGAAUUCUCAUCUUCCAUGCGGGAGACCCAGGGUCAAUUCCCAGCCAAUGCA